rnacentral:rRNA from 1 species
UACGGGGGGGGCAAGCGUUGUUCGGAAUUACUGGGCGUAAAGGGUUCGUAGGUGGCUUGCUAAGUCAGACGUGAAAUCCCUCAGCUUAACUGGGGAACUGCGUCUGAUACUGGCGAGCUUGAGUGCAGGAGAGGAACGCAGAAUUCCAGGUGUAGCGGUGAAAUGCGUAGAUAUCUGGAGGAAUACCGGUGGCGAAGGCGGCGUUCUGGACUGUAACUGACACUGAGGUGCGAAAGCGUGGGGAGCAAACAGG